UACGUAGGGUGCGAGCGUUUGUCCGGAAUUAUUGGGCGUAAAGGGCUCGUAGGCGGUUUGUCGCGUCGGGAGUGAAAACCUCGGGCUUAACUCGGGGCUUGCUUUCGAUACGGGCAGACUGGAGGUAUGCAGGGGAGAACGGAAUUCCUGGUGUAGCGGUGAAAUGACGCAGAUAUCAGGAGGAACACCGGUGGCGAAGGCGGUUCUCUGGGCAUGACCUGACGCUGAGGAGCGAAAGUGUGGGGAGCGAACAGG
rnacentral:rRNA from 1 species